rnacentral:rRNA from 1 species
GACGAACGCUGGCGGCGUGCUUAACACAUGCAAGUCGAACGGAAAGGCCCUGCUUUUGUGGGGUGCUCGAGUGGCGAACGGGUGAGUAACACGUGAGUAACCUGCCCUUGACUUUGGGAUAACUUCAGGAAACUGGGGCUAAUACCGGAUAGGAGCUCCUGCUGCAAGGUGGGGGUUGGAAAGUUUCGGCGGUUGGGGAUGGACUCGCGGCUUAUCAGCUUGUUGGUGGGGUAGUGGCUUACCAAGGCUUUGACGGGUAGCCGGCCUGAGAGGGUGACCGGCCACAUUGGGACUGAGAUACGGCCCAGACUCCUACGGGAGGCAGCAGUGGGGAAUAUUGCACAAUGGGCGGAAGCCUGAUGCAGCAACGCCGCGUGCGGGAUGACGGCCUUCGGGUUGUAAACCGCUUUCGCCUGUGACGAAGCGUGAGUGACGGUAAUGGGUAAAGAAGCACCGGCUAACUACGUG